UUAAACGUCCAUACCACGUCGAAUACACUGGUUCUCAUACGAUCACCGAAGUUUAGCAACGUCGGGCGCGGUCAGUACUCGGAUGGGUGACCGCCUGGGAACAUCGCGAGACGUUGGCU
rnacentral:rRNA from 1 species